AGAGUUUGAUCCUGGCUCAGGACGAACGCUGGCGGCGUGCUUAACACAUGCAAGUCGAACGAGGUCCCUCCGGCAGCAAUACCGGAGAAGACCUAGUGGCGAACGGGUGCGUAACACCUGAGGAACUUGUCCCGGUCUCUGGCAUAACCGUUGGAAACGACUGCUAAUACCGGAUGCCGUCGGAGCGUCCCAUGGCGCGCUGACUAAAGGGUUACCGGAUCGGGAGAGCCUCGCGGCCUAUCAGCUUGUUGGUGGGGUAACGGCCUACCAAGGCAUCGACGGGUAGCUGGUCUGAGAGGAUGAUCAGCCACACUGGGACUGAGACACGGCCCAGACUCCUACGGGAGGCAGCAGUGGGGAAUCUUGCGCAAUGGGCGAAAGCCUGACGCAGCAACGCCGCGUGCGGGAAGAAGGCUCUCGGGUUGUAAACCGCUUUCAGAAGGAACGAAACUGACGGUACUUUCAGAAGAAGGUGCGGCCAACUACGUGCCAGCAGCCGCGGUGACACGUAGGCACCAAGCGUUGUCCGGAUUUAUUGGGCGUAAAGAGCUCGUAGGCGGUUCAGUGAGUCGGGUGUGAAAACUUUGGGCUUACCCCACAGCGUGCAUCCGAUACUGCUGUGAUUUGAGUUCGGUAGGCGAGCGUUUGAUUUCUAGCGCACCGGUCGA
rnacentral:rRNA from 1 species